rnacentral:rRNA from 1 species
UACAGGGGGGGCAAGCGUUGUUCGGAAUUACUGGGCGUAAAGGGUUCGUAGGUGGCCACUUAAGUCAGACGUGAAAUCCCUCAGCUUAACUGGGGAACUGCGUCUGAUACUGAGUGGCUUGAGUGCAGGAGAGGAAUGCGGAAUUCCAGGUGUAGCGGUGAAAUGCGUAGAUAUAGGAAGGAACACCAGUGGCGAAGGCGACCACCUGGACUGAUACUGACACUGAGGUGCGAAAGCGUGGGGAGCAAACAGG